GACUAAACUGUCUCUUAUAGGCAUUCAAUGAAACUGAUCUUUCAGUCCAAAAGCUGAAAUACCAUCACUAGACGAGAAGACCCUGUGGAGCUUCCAAACCAUUGCCAACUCCUAUGACUUUACGGUUUUUAGUUGGGGCGACUUCGGAGAACAAAAAAACCUCCAACUAGGAAACUUUCCUAAUUAAGAUCUACAUAUCUAAAUACUUAACUUGACCCAGUGGGCACUACCUCCAUCUGAUCAAGGAACCAAGUUACCCCAGGGAUAACAGCGCUAUCCUCUUCUAGAGUCCCUAUCGACAAGAGGGCUUACGACCUCGAUGU
rnacentral:rRNA from 1 species